rnacentral:rRNA from 1 species
AUUGAACGCUGGCGGCAGGCCUAACCCAUGCAAGUCGAGCGGAGCGGCUGACGGGUGCGUAAUGCCUAGGAAUCUGCCUGGUAGUGGGGGAUAACGUCCGGAAACGGGCGCUAAUCCCGCAUACUAUCAGAUGAGCCUAGGUCGGAUUAGCUAGUUGGGGGGGUAAAGGCCUACCAAGGCGACGAGCCGGAACUGGUCUGAAUGGAUGUUCAGUCACACUGGAACUGAGACACGGUCCAGACUCCUACGGGAGGCAGCAGUGGGGAAUAUUGGACAAUGGGCUAAAGCCUGAUCCAGCCAUGCCGCGUGUGUGAAGAAGGUCUUCGGAUUGUAAAGCACUUUAAGUUGGGAGGCGUUAGCAACAGAAUAAGCACCGGCUAACUUCGUGCCAGCAGCCGCGGUAAUUC